AUGGACAUGAGGGCCCCCACUCAGCUCGUGGGUCUCCUGCUGUUCUGGUUCUUAGGUGCCAGAUGUGACAUCCAGAUGGCCCAGUCUCCAUCCUCACAUUCUGCAUCAAUAGGAGACACUGUCACCAUUAAUUGUCGAGCAAGUGAGGAUAUAAUAACUAAAUACUUAGCUUGGUAUCAGCAGAAACCAGGGAAAGGUCCUAAACCUCUGAUCUAUUAUGCAUCCAUCUUAGCAUCUGGAGUCCCAGCAAGGUUCAGUAGCAGUGGAUCUGGGACAGAUUACACUCUCUCCAUCAACAGUGUGGAGACUAAAGAUGUUGGAACUUAUUAUUGUCAACAGGGUGACACAAGCCCUCCCACAGUGAUAUAA